UGCAUCAUUCAUCUUUUAGCUUCUUUCUUUUUGUUUUUAUUCUAUUUUAUUUCUUUGUUUUUCUAUUGGUUUGGGUUUUUUUGUUCUUUGCUAUUCCUUGGAUAAUGGAAUUUCUUCACAUUUUUGUGUGUUGAUUCUGCUUCAGCCAUAGUGCAAAAGACGUGAGAACUCUAACCCUCUAGCAUAGUAGAUUCGAUUGUUUGGUGUGGUUCGAGGAAGUUACUAGAGUUCCAGGAGCGUGGUUAAUUCCAUCAACAAUCAGGUGUGUGAAAACAACCCAAAAAUCUCUUAGAAAUUCGAUUGAAAUCGCGAAAUAGAGGUUGUUGCGAAAUUGACCAGUUUUCACAUAGCCAAGUGGUGGGUCGUGUGAGACACACAACUGUGUAAGGUUUUGCAGACCGUGUGAGAAUAAGCAGCUCGUGUGGCUGGACCAUGUGAGGCACACGGCCAUGUGGAAAGGUUCAGACCGUGUGAGAAUAAACAACCCAUGUGGCUAGAUCGUGUGAGGCACAUGGCCGCAUGGAAAUGUUCAAACCGUGUGAGUGGCCCAUGUGGACCAUACGACCUAGAUUAUUGGGCCGUGUGGGCCUUUUUGGCCAAUUGUAGGGCCCAAUUAAAGGUCAUUUAGGGGACUUGAUAUUUGGGUCCAAGGACGCCGUAGGGGCAAAAAAACUGUAAGUUUAAUACUUAAGUUCGUACAAGUGAUGUUUAAAGCGUGAUAUAUAUAUAUUGUAAGCUAAAACUAAAUUAUAAGUUGUGUUAUGCGAAAAGUGAAUCAUGUAAAUAAGCAUGUCGUGUAACGUUUGCUAUAUGUGUGUAUGUCAUCUGUUUAUGAUAUGUAUAAUAUAUGAAUCUGAUAUGUAUAUG